rnacentral:rRNA from 1 species
AGACCCGAAACCCGGUGAUCUAGCCAUGGGCAGGUUGAAGGUUGGGUAACACUAACUGGAGGACCGAACCGACUAAUGUUGAAAAAUUAGCGGAUGACCUGUGGCUGGGGGUGAAAGGCCAAUCAAACCGGGAGAUAGCUGGUUCUCCCCGAAAGCUAUUUAGGUAGCGCCUCGUGAAUUCAUCUCCGGGGGUAGAGCACUGUUUCGGCUAGGGGGCCAUCCCGGCUUACCAACCCGAUGCAAACUGCGAAUACCGGAGAAUGUUAUCACGGGAGACACACGGCGGGUGCUAACGUCCGUCGUGAAGAGGGAAACAACCCAGACCGCCAGCUAAGGUCCCAAAGUCAUGGUUAAGUGGGAAACGAUGUGGGAAGGCCCAGACAGCCAGGAUGUUGGCUUAGAAGCAGCCAUCAUUUAAAGAAAGCGUAAUAGCUCACUGGUCGAGUCGGCCUGCGCGGAAGAUGUAACGGGGCUAAACCAUGCACCGAAGCUGCGGCAGCGACACUCAGGUGUUGUUGGGUAGGGGAGCGUUCUGUAAGCCUGCGAAGGUGGCCUGUGAGGGUUGCUGGAGGUAUCAGAAGUGCGAAUGCUGACAUAAGUAACGAUAAAGCGGGUGAAAAGCCCGCUCGCCGGAAGACCAAGGGUUCCUGUCCAACGUUAAUCGGGGCAGGGUGAGUCGACCCCUAAGGCGAGGCCGAAAGGCGUAGUCGAUGGGAAACGGGUUAAUAUUCCCGUACUUGGUGUUACUGCGAAGGGGGGACGGAGAAGGCUAUGUUGGCCGGGCGACGGUUGUCCCGGUUUAAGCGUGUAGGUGUGUGUUCCAGGUAAAUCCGGUUCACUUUAACACUGAGGCGUGACGACGAGGCACUACGGUGCUGAAGCAACAAAUGCCCUGCUUCCAGGAAAAGCCUCUAAGCAUCAGGUAACAUCAAAUCGUACCCCAAACCGACACAGGUGGUCAGGUAGAGAAUACCAAGGCGCUUGAGAGAACUCGGGUGAAGGAACUAGGCAAAAUGGUGCCGUAACUUCGGGAGAAGGCACGCUGACACGUAGGUGAAGUGAUUUACUCACGGAGCUGAAGUCAGUCGAAGAUACCAGCUGGCUGCAACUGUUUAUUAAAAACACAGCACUGUGCAAACACGAAAGUGGACGUAUACGGUGUGACGCCUGCCCGGUGCCGGAAGGUUAAUUGAUGGGGUCAGCGCAAGCGAAGCUCCUGAUCGAAGCCCCGGUAAACGGCGGCCGUAACUAUAACGGUCCUAAGGUAGCGAAAUUCCUUGUCGGGUAAGUUCCGACCUGCACGAAUGGCGUAAUGAUGGCCAGGCUGUCUCCACCCGAGACUCAGUGAAAUUGAACUCGCUGUGAAGAUGCAGUGUACCCGCGGCAAGACGGAAAGACCCCGUGAACCUUUACUAUAGCUUGACACUGAACAUUGAGCCUUGAUGUGUAGGAUAGGUGGGAGGCUUUGAAGUGUGGACGCCAGUCUGCAUGGAGCCGACCUUGAAAUACCACCCUUUAAUGUUUGAUGUUCUAACGUGGACCCGUGAUCCGGGUUGCGGACAGUGUCUGGUGGGUAGUUUGACUGGGGCGGUCUCCUCCUAAAGAGUAACGGAGGAGCACGAAGGUUGGCUAAUCCUGGUCGGACAUCAGGAGGUUAGUGCAAUGGCAUAAGCCAGCUUGACUGCGAGCGUGACGGCGCGAGCAGGUGCGAAAGCAGGUCAUAGUGAUCCGGUGGUUCUGAAUGGAAGGGCCAUCGCUCAACGGAUAAAAGGUACUCCGGGGAUAACAGGCUGAUACCGCCCAAGAGUUCAUAUCGACGGCGGUGUUUGGCACCUCGAUGUCGGCUCAUCACAUCCUGGGGCUGAAGUAGGUCCCAAGGGUAUGGCUGUUCGCCAUUUAAAGUGGUACGCGAGCUGGGUUUAGAACGUCGUGAGACAGUUCGGUCCCUAUCUGCCGUGGGCGCUGGAGAACUGAGGGGGGCUGCUCCUAGUACGAGAGGACCGGAGUGGACGCAUCACUGGUGUUCGGGUUGUCAUGCCAAUGGCACUGCCCGGUAGCUAAAUGCGGAAGAGAUAAGUGCUGAAAGCAUCUAAGCACGAAACUUGCCCCGAGAUGAGUUCUCC